GUAUUUCAGCUGAGCUCAGCGAGGCUGCCCCCAGGCCCUAGCAGGAGCAGUGGGUAUAUGUUAGCAGUAGCUGCAGGAAGGAUCACAACGUGGCUUUCCUCCUUGCAGGAGGGAAAGUUUAAAAAGCCAUCGUCUUCAUCUGCAAGACAUUUUCACCUACUGUGUUCAUUGCUGCUGGAUCAGACUUCCAAAGCCAUGCCAGGGGUGGAAAAAGUCUUUUCUCCUACUCUGCCACCGCGUGGGGCCCUGGAGCAGUAAGGCUCUCAAGAGGAAGAUGGUCUGGAGCAGCCCAGAAUGUGGCAUUGCAAAGAGCAGGGGCAGCGAAAUCCAUGGAAGAAAAGGCUCAGACAUACAGCUGAGCUCAGAGGCAGAUGUCACUGGACAUGCCUGUAACAGGCAUACUCUUGAGAGGCAGAUGAAGAGAUGGAGGUUGCAUUCUAACUGAGCACAAAAACUUAAAGGCAAAAUCCAUCAGAAGAAACUUCCAGGUGAUCCUAUGACCAUCAGAAGAAACUUCCAGAGACUUACUGCAAAACAGAUUAAAAUCUCAGCUGCUUCAGAGUUAGUCCAACUUCUACUAGUGAACUCUGAAGAGGAAGCAAGCAUCCAGACCGUUAACAUAAUGCCAAGCCACAGCAUGCAUUUCAAAUUGAUCAGAAGUGAGUCACCCUUUAAAAACCACCGCUUUGGAAAAGCUGUUCUGAAAAGGAGCACUCUGGUUACAACCUCACCUUUUCAAAUCCACAGUGGUGACGUUAAAUAUGACACCUUUUAGCCACAGAAUCAUAAAGAGGCGCUGUGAGAAGGGGCAAUUUCCAAUGCUUUCCCCAUCGCUGCCAGCCUACGAGUAAAAAAGAAGAUCAUAUAUGAAAAAAAAAGAUACGCACACACCUGUGAUGAUAGCAACUUUUGAUAGCAGAUGCAGGAAGAAAGCUGAAAACCCAGACCUGCUGUGAGUGCUAUAGCACAUUACUCAUCUCUACUCAUGCAUACUUUCACACAAAGUUUCUUUAUCUCCCUCUCCAAACAUGCACACAGAUACGAUGUCAUCUUGGAGAUGUAGUUUUUCAUUUAAAUGCAUUAUGAAUAUUGCCAGGAGUUGGAAAACAAAAUUGAAAUUACAGCAGUACUUCUAAAGGAAAUAGUCUUCACCUCAUUUGCCUGUGUGACUAUAAAUCUACCCAAGUCACUGCAUGACUACAACAAGUUCAGUCAGUUCAUGAUCACUGGAAACAACUGGAGAAACAUUUGCCAGCCUCAGUUGAGAUGCAAUGCCAAAAACAGUUAAAAAAAUAAACAAUAAAUCAAAUAAUAAAGAAUUUCAAACUAAACAACUGUGGGGCCCUAGCAAAGGAGGGAAUUUUCAGUGGUAAGACUUACUCCAGCAGAACCCACCCAUCUCUGUGCUUUGCUGACGCCAGGACUAAUGAAGCACAAAUGCUGCAUGCCCCCAACUAAUCCUUCCUUGUAUAGACCAAAGACUCCCACUUUUAAGACUGAAGUGUAGCCAUAUCCGAGCCAGGUAACCUUGCUUUGUGUGCGCUCUGCUGUGAUGGCCUUUCCUUCUUGGCUACACAAAUUGUCAGGCGUCAGUGCAAGCCACAGGAGGACCAACUCAGUCUACGUGUGGCCAGGGAAGUGUUGCUUUUGUGUAGCCUGUAUUGCUUUUUGUUAAGAGGCUUUGUUAAAAUGAGGCAGAGUCUUGCACAGUUGGUAUCGGUUAAGUUAGGCUUCACAGCACAUUGUUUAAGCCCUUCAUAUGAUUCUCCUAAAGCACAUCUUUAAAACUUAGAUUAAAUGUAAGAGCGAAGAAAUGAAAAACCCAGAUGUAUCACUUAGUUAAUAGGUUAGUUGAUUAAGGUUUGCAGACCUUAUAACUAAACAAACAACACACAUCAAUGAAACCAGUUCUGCCUGCUCUUUCACCUUCUCAGCACUAUCAAGUGAAUCUCAAAUACAGCAGAAAGUUCUCCCUAAACAAACACUGCUGUUGGAUCACUUUACAAUGCUCACCUUCACAAAGAGCUCUAUGUCUGGAAAAGAGCA